CGCAAAACUAUUUCUCCCCAAAACAAACCUGCUAAAACCUAUUUCUAUCUCUGUCUCUCCUUCAAACACUGCAGGACCCAUACGCAGGAACCCAAAAACAGAGAAGCCAGUCGCAGAUCUUUCUCUCUUCCCCUGCGACGGUAACCGAAUUCAACUACGCCACAAAUGCUCUCUUCCUCUGCGACAGUAACCGAAUUCAACUAUGCCACAAAUGCUUCGCCUCACAACCAACCAACAUCAGACUGCUGGAACGGCUAUAGGUUCUUUGACUGUCACAUACAUGUUACAGGGAGGCAUUACUCACCAAGAUUUUGUAGGCCAUAAGGAUACAAUUGGACCCUGUGAUGUGCAG